rnacentral:rRNA from 1 species
GACGUAGGUGGCGAACGUUAUCCGGAAUUAUUGGGCGUAAAGGGUGCGUAGGCGGCAUGAUAAGUUAUUGGCGGCAAAUCGAGGCUCAACCUCGUGGAAACUGAUAAUACUGUCUUGCUUGAGUGCAGAAGAGGUUAACGGAACUCCAUGUGGAGCGGUAAAAUGUGUAGAUAUAUGGAAGAACAUCAAUAACGGCGAAGGCAGUUAACUAUUCUGUUACUGACGUGAGGCACGAAAGCGUGGGGAAGCAAAACGGG